CACAUAAAUACAUUUUGCUCAAAGUGUAAGGAGAUUUGUGUUUGGUUGAUUAUUUCUCUGUGGUAACAAUGCUUUUUGGCAAUAAAUCUUAUA